rnacentral:tRNA from 1 species
AGCCCCGGUGGACUUAGGGCAGGUCAGACGAUGUAUCGGCCUGUCUGCCAGCACCUUUGGUCGCCCUCUCAAGGCGGUAGCGCGGGUUCGAAUCCCGUCGGGGCUA